rnacentral:rRNA from 1 species
UACAGAGGGUGCAAGCGUUAAUCGGAAUUACUGGGCGUAAAGCGCGCGUAGGUGGUUUGUUAAGUUGAAUGUGAAAUCCCCGGGCUCAACCUGGGAACUGCAUGCAAACUGGCAAGCUAGAGUAUGGUAGAGGGUGGUGGAAUUUCCCGUGUAGCGGUGAAAUGCGUAGAUAUAGGAAGGAACACCAGUGGCGAAGGCGACCACCUGGACUGAUACUGACGCUGAGACGCGAAAGCGUGGGGAGCGAACAGG